UACGAAGGGGGCUAGCGUUGCUCGGAAUCACUGGGCGUAAAGCGCACGUAGGCGGCUUCUUAAGUCAGGGGUGAAAUCCUGGAGCUCAACUCCAGAACUGCCUUUGAUACUGGGAAGCUCGAGUCCGGGAGAGGUGAGUGGAACUGCGAGUGUAGAGGUGAAAUUCGUAGAUAUUCGCAAGAACACCAGUGGCGAAGGCGGCUCACUGGCCCGGUACUGACGCUGAGGUGCGAAAGCGUGGGGAGCAAACAGG
rnacentral:rRNA from 1 species